UCAAACUUGGUCAUUUAGAGGAAGUAAAAGUCGUAACAAGGUCUCCGUUGGUGAACCAGCGGAGGGAUCAUUACUGAGUUAUCAAAACUCCCAAACCCAUGUGAACCUACCUAUUGUUGCCUCGGCAGGGCCUGUCGAGGGCGUCGUCUUCGGGCGGUGCCCCCUCGCCAGCGGCCUGCCGGUGGACCACCAAAACUCUUGUUAUUAUUGCGCAACUCUGAGUUAAACAAACAUAAUAAGUUAAAACUUUCAACAACGGAUCUCUUGGUUCUGGCAUCGAUGAAGAACGCAGC
rnacentral:misc_RNA from 1 species